rnacentral:tRNA from 1 species
GGUGGGUUAUCUCAGUGGUUAGAGCUUAGGCUUUGCAACCGGAAGAUCCCGAGUUCGAAUCUCGCCAGAGGCAGAA